GCCAAAGAUGUAGAGCUGGUCUACAUGCUGGGUUUAGGUUCCAGCCCACCACGGGGGGGGUAAGGGGGGGGGGGAGGGGUUCGAAUCCCCUCUUUGGCA
rnacentral:tRNA from 1 species